GAUGAACGCUGGCGGCGUGCCUAAUACAUGCAAGUCGAGCGAACAGACGAGGAGCUUGCUCCUCUGACGUUAGCGGCGGACGGGUGAGUAACACGUGGAUAACCUACCUAUAAGACUGGGAUAACUUCGGGAAACCGGAGCUAAUACCGGAUAAUAUAUUGAACCGCAUGGUUCAAUAGUGAAAGACGGUUUUGCUGUCACUUAUAGAUGGAUCCGCGCCGCAUUAGCUAGUUGGUAAGGUAACGGCUUACCAAGGCAACGAUGCGUAGCCGACCUGAGAGCAUGAUCGGCCACACUGGAAGUGAGACACGGUCCAGACUCCUACGGGAGGCAGCAGUAGGGAAUCUUCCGCAAAGGGCGAGAGCUUGACGGAGCAACGCCGCUUGAGUGAUGAAGGUCUUCGGAUCGUAAAACUCUGUUAUUAGGGAAGAACAAAUGUGUAAGUAACUAUGCACGUCUUGACGGUACCUAAUCAGAAAGCCACGGCUAACUACGUG
rnacentral:rRNA from 1 species